rnacentral:lncRNA from 1 species
CCACUGCUACUCUUUCCAUAUUAGGAAAAUGAGGCACAGAGAAAAUUAAUUUACCCAAAUCGCAGAGCUAGUAAGUGGGGCCAGGUGCCACUGGGAGACCAAGAGCUCUGCCUCCAUAGGCUUCCAGCUCUGGCACUUUUCCUUUUGUGUGUUCCCACAAGUAUUUCGUGUUUCAAUCAACGACUGUGGUCCAGCGGAACCCGGUACACAUCGUGUGCUCAGGUAACGUUCAUGGAUGAAUAAAUCCAGGACGGAUGACGGGCAAUGAGAUUCUGCCGUAGAGCGCAAGGAACUAUAUCUAGUCACUUUGAUGGAACAUGAUGGGACGUAAUGUGAGAAAAAGUGACUGGGUCACUUUGCUGUACAGCAGAGAUUGACAGAACACUGUAAAUCAACUAUAAUGGGAAAUUUAAAAAAUAAAAAAAAUGAAAUUUCAAAAAAGGAAAAAUUGAUAUAUAAGAUUUUUCUAUAUGAAAAAUAACUAGCUACAGAAUAAUAUAGGGAAAAUGGUCACAUUUAAAUAGCAAUAAAAACAAAUGUUUAAAAGAAAGCAUUCAGAACUUGUAAAUUCUCCUGAGAAGUUAAAAGCUAGAAAAAAAAUGAAGAUGCAGCUGGUGUUUGGCUGGGAAAAUUUUAUGCAGAUGGUACUCAUCAAUAAAUGGAUCAAUACACUGAUUGUGAUACAGCAGUCCUACCAGUCCGGUUAGAAAGUGAUUCUAACGUUAAUCUGGAAAGCUGUAUUUGUAAGAAUAGGUAGUAAAAUUCUGGAUAAGAAGAGAAAUGAUAUAAAUCAGCUCUACCCGAUAAUAAAAUGUAGUAUAAAGCUGUGUUUCUAAAUAAAACAGUACACUACCGACGGCUAUAGAUAAUCAUUGGCAUAGAAUGGAGAUUCCAGAGAGAAAUAGAAAGAUAGAUGUAAUCAGUGACUAAAAGACUACAUUAUUCAAUAAAAGUGCACUUUUCUGGGAGUGGGAGGGGGAGGAGGAUGGGCGAGGCAGAAGGAUUCCUGCCUCACUCAUUUAGCAAAGUAAAUUCCAGAUGGAAUCUAAUGCAACCAUGGAGCACAGAAUCAUAAAAGAACCAAGAAAAGAUACUGAUGGAUGCUUUUCAAACUCUUACAGUGAGGAAAGCUUUCUUAAGCAUGCAACCCUGAAGCCUUAUAGGAAAGCCUAAAAAGUCAGCCUGCAAAACAAGGCACAAUCUCCUCUCUGACAAAAAUCUAGUUGUUUCCAGGCAGCAGAGUUUGCAGUGGUAUUAGCUCUCUUCUUUGUUUCCUGUUUUGUUCCUUAAAAUGGAUGUAUUAGUUUUAUAAAAACAAAAUCACUAUCUUUUAAAAAAAGGGAAAUCAAGCAAUUAAAACACCCAAUCAUUUUGAAAUGUCAAGAAUUAAAAGCAACUAUAGAAAAAAUUAACUCAAAAUGGAUCGUAGACCUAAAUGUAAAACCACAGAAGGAAAUUGGAGAAAACCAUCUUGGCCUUGGGUUAGGCGGAGAGUUCCUGGAAACGACAUCAAAGGCACAGUUCCUGAGGGGAAAUACUUGAUAAUUUGGACUUUAUCAAAAUUAGAAACUUUUGCUCUGUGAAGGAUACUGUUAAGAAAAAAAAAAUACCAGCCACAGAUUGGAAGAAACUCUUUGCAAGUCGUAUACCAGACAAAUGACUUGAACCUAAGAUGUGCAAAUAAUUCUGAAAACUCAACACCAAGAAUACAACCCAACUGUUUAAGUUUUAAAUAGACACUUUGCCAAAUAAGCACUUGAAAAAAUGCUCAAUAUCACUAAUUAUUAGGUAAAUAUAAAUUAAAAAUACCAUGAUAUUCUGGU